rnacentral:rRNA from 1 species
CGUAGGGACCAAGCGUUGUUCGGAUUUACUGGGCGUAAAGGGCGCGUAGGCGGCGUGUUAAGUCAGCUGUGAAAUCUCCAAGCUUAACUUGGAACGGUCAGCUGAUACUGAUGUGCUAGAGUGCAGAAGGGGCAAUCGGAAUUCUUGGUGUAGCGGUGAAAUGCGUAGAUAUCAAGAGGAACACCUGAGGUGAAGACGGGUUGCUGGGCUGACACUGACGCUGAGGCGCGAAAGCUAGGGUAGCAAACGGGAUUAGAUACCCCGGUAGUCCUAGCCCUAAACGAUGAAUACUUGGUGUCUGGAGUUUUUAUCUCCGGGUGCCGUCGCUUAACGUUUUUAGAUUCCGCCUGGGGAGUACGCACGCAAGUGUG